UGGGGAAUAUUGCACAAUGGGCGCAAGCCUGAUGCAGCCAUGCCGCGUGUAUGAAGAAGGCCUUCGGGUUGUAAAGUACUUUCAGUCGGGAGGAAGGUGGUAAGGUUAAUAACCUUAUCAAUUGACGUUACCGACAGAAGAAGCACCGGCUAACUCCGUGCCAGCAGCCGCGGUAAUACGGAGGGUGCAAGCGUUAAUCGGAAUUACUGGGCGUAAAGCGCACGCAGGCGGUUGAUUGAGUCAGAUGUGAAAUCCCCGGGCUUAACCCGGGAAUUGCAUCUGAUACUGGUCAGCUAGAGUAUUGUAGAGGGGGGUAGAAUUCCAUGUGUAGCGGUGAAAUGCGUAGAGAUGUGGAGGAAUACCGGUGGCGAAGGCGGCUCUCUGGUCUGUAACUGACGCUGAGGCUCGAAAGCGUGGGGAGCAAACAGG
rnacentral:rRNA from 1 species